CCAGCCUGGACGACAUAGUGAGACCAUGUCUCAAAAAAAAGUAAAAAAUUAGCUGGGUGUGGUGGCACAUGUCUAUAGUCCCAGCUACUCAGGAGACAGGCUGAGGUGGGAGGAUCACUUGAGUCCAGGAGUUUGAGGCUGCAGUGAAGCAUGAUCAUGCACCACACUCUAAGUGGGACGACAGGGUAAGACCCUGUUGCCCGCAAAAAAAAUCUAUGUGUUCCUAACAGUGCUAGAUACUUGGGAUAUAGUGAUAUAGGGAGGAAAGAAUUGAGCAAC
rnacentral:lncRNA from 1 species